rnacentral:lncRNA from 1 species
UCCUCGUGGCCGACGUCGGAGGCGUCCCCGCCGCGGUGCUUCCUCGCUGGACCAGGUCCCUCGCCGUUUACGUCGCCGUAUCAAUUUUAAUUAGGAACCUGUAAUAUUUUUCAUUCAUCAUUUUGUACAUUUGAAUAAAUAUAUUUUUCCUUUUCCUUGGCUCGAUUUACACCUUUACUUUGAGGUACGUUAGUGUAACCGAUGUUUUCUUUUGGUCAAUGCCAUAUUCUUUUGUCCUUUUCUGAAGAUGUCGAAUUUUUGAUAACA